CCUAGCGGCCGCGACACGGGACGCCCUGCCCCGAGAGGCCGGGCUGCACCGGCUACUGCGACAGAGCGCCCGGACUCACCGGGCCGUGGGGAGGGCGGGGGUCUGUAAGAUGGCCUCCUGCGGUCUUUGAAAUGACUUGCUCGGUGGUGUUCCGGCUGGGCAGAAAUGAAUCGAGUAAAGGGUGGUGUUUCUUGCAGUGGCCUUUUCAGCCGGCCACACAGACCCUUCCGUUGCUCAGUUUACUGUGGUAGAAGAGCGGUGGCUUUCGAACACGUUGGAUCAUUCCACAGCAAGAAAGAGAGUGUAUAUUACGGCCCAGCACCUACAUAACACCGAUAAAACCACGGAAACCUGGGAAGCAGGCCACCGUGACCUGUCUAUCGUAUAUCAGCAUCCUGUGGUAGAUCAGCAAACUGAUAAAUACAUUUCAAAAUUAUUGGAA